GCCAAGCAGAGCCCAGCACCAACCCUGCCUUGUGUGUGUGUCAUUAACCAUCCGAUUUGGACUUGGUGCUGGGGGAAAACAGAUGACUGCAAGAGGAACUUCAGAAGGAUUCUUCUCGAGGCUGCCAGAUCUCACCUCACGUAAUUUUACAGCAUGGAGCCAACACAGCACUCCCCUCUCCACACUAUGGUAUCUGAGAACUGACCUGGAGAAGACCAGGAGCUGCUUUGGAGGGAAAUGUCUUCCAUGAGCAACCUUUUCCUACUCCAACCAUCCUUACUUAAACCAACCCAGCUGCAGAUUCCCAGCUUCUGAUGUACUGAGAGAAGUUCCUGUUGGCCCUAUUAACAGCAUUAGCAAGUUGUUUUCAAGGCCUUUUUUUUGCCAUAUCUUACUGCUUUUGCACUUAUCUCACCAGAGUUUGUGAUGGUUCAUGUUUUCCCCACCGAGGCAUGAAUUCAACUCUUGAAGGACUCGUCCUUUCUAAAAAUAGCCCUCUUUACUCUGCUGUUUAACCAAGUCACCUUUUUUGUGUGGGUGGGUGGGUGAGAUCCUCCAAUAACUUUUAACAGUGAUACACUGA